rnacentral:rRNA from 1 species
UCGAGCGAGACCUUCGGGUCUAGCGGCGGACGGGUGAGUAACGCGUGGGAAUGUGCCCUUCUCUACGGAAUAGUCCCGGGAAACUGGGUUUAAUACCGUAUACGCCCUUCGGGGGAAAGAUUUAUCGGAGAAGGAUCAGCCCGCGUCUGAUUAGGUAGUUGGUGGGGUAAUGGCCUACCAAGCCUACGAUCAGUAGCUGGUUUUAGAGGAUGAUCAGCCACACUGGGACUGAGACACGGCCCAGACUCCUACGGGAGGCAGCAGUGGGGAAUCUUAGACAAUGGGCGCAAGCCUGAUCUAGCCAUGCCGCGUGAGUGAUGAAGGCCUUAGGGUCGUAAAACUCUUUCGCCAGGGAUGAUAAUGACAGUACCUGGUAAAGAAGCCCCGGCUAACUCCGUGCCAGCAGCCGCGGUAAUACGGAGGGGGCUAGCGUUGUUCGGAAUUACUGGGCGUAAAGCGCGCGUAGGCGGGCUAUUAAGUCAGAGGUGAAAUCCCACGGCUCAACCGUGGAACUGCCUUUGAUACUGGUAGCCUUGAGUUCGAGAGAGGUGAGUGGAAUUCCGAGUGUAGAGGUGAAAUUCGUAGAUAUUCGGAGGAACACCAGUGGCGAAGGCGGCUCACUGGCUCGAUACUGACGCUGAGGUGCGAAAGUGUGGGGAGCAAACAGGAUUAGAUACCCUGGUAGUCCACACCGUAAACAAUGAAUGCCAGUCGUCGGCAAGCAUGCUUGUCGGUGACACACCUAACGGAUUAAGCAUUCCGCCUGGGGAGUACGGUCGCAAGAUUAAAACUCAAAGGAA